rnacentral:rRNA from 1 species
UACGUAGGGGGCGAGCGUUGUCCGGAUUUAUUGGGCGUAAAGAGCUCGUAGGCGGUUCGGUAAGUCGGGUGUGAAAACUUUGGGCUUAACCCAAAGCGUGCACUCGAUACUGCCAUGACUAGAGUUCGGUAGGGGAGUGGGGAAUUCCUAGUGUAGCGGUGAAAUGCGCAGAUAUUAGGAGGAACACCGGUGGCGAAGGCGCCACUCUGGGCCGAAACUGACGCUGAGGAGCGAAAGCGUGGGUAGCAAACAGG